UGGGGAAUAUUGGACAAUGGGGGAAACCCUGAUCCAGCGACGCCGCGUGUGUGAAGAAGGCCUGCGGGUUGUAAAGCACUUUCGGUGGGAACGAAAUAUGCCGGGCUAAUACCCCGGUAGGCUGACGUUACUCAAUGAAGAAGCACCGGCUAACUCUGUGCCAGCAGCCGCGGUAAGACGGAGGGCGCAAGCGUUGUUCGGAAUUACUGGGCGUAAAGCGCGGGCAGGCGGUCUGUUAAGUCGUUUGUGAAAAUCCGGGGCUCAACCCCGGAAAUGCAUACGAUACUGGCAGGCUGGAGACUGGUAGAGGCUAGCGGAAUUCCUGGUGUAGCGGUGGAAUGCGUAGAUAUCAGGAAGAACACCUGUGGCGAAGGCGGCUAGCUGGGCCAGUUCUGACGCUCAUCCGCGAAAGCGUGGGGAGCAAACAGGAUUAGAUACCCAGGUAGUCCCUGAGCGGGCUGGCAAGGCGCAU
rnacentral:rRNA from 1 species